rnacentral:rRNA from 1 species
GAUGAACGCUGGCGGCGUGCCUAAUACAUGCAAGUCGAGCGAACGGACGAGAAGCUUGCUUUUCUGAUGUUAGCGGCGGACGGGUGAGUAACACGUGGAUAACCUACCUAUAAGACUGGGAUAACUUCGGGAAACCGGAGCUAAUACCGGAUAAUAUUUUGAACCGCAUGGUUCAAAAGUGAAAGACGGUCUUGCUGUCACUUAUAGAUGGAUCCGCGCUGCAUUAGCUAGUUGGUAAGGUAACGGCUUACCAAGGCAACGAUGCAUAGCCGACCUGAGAGGGUGAUCGGCCACACUGGAACUGAGACACGGUCCAGACUCCUACGGGAGGCAGCAGUAGGGAAUCUUCCGCAAUGGGCGAAAGCCUGACGGAGCAACGCCGCGUGAGUGAUGAAGGUCUUCGGAUCGUAAAACUCUGUUAUUAGGGAAGAACAUAUGUGUAAGUAACUGUGCACAUCUUGACGGUACCUAAUCAGAAAGCCACGGCUAACUACGUGCCAGCAGCCGCGGUAAUACGUAGGUGGCAAGCGUUAUCCGGAAUUAUUGGGCGUAAAGCGCGCGUAGGCGGUUUUUUAAGUCUGAUGUGAAAGCCCACGGCUCAACCGUGGAGGGUCAUUGGAAACUGGAAAACUUGAGUGCAGAAGAGGAAAGUGGAAUUCCAUGUGUAGCGGUGAAAUGCGCAGAGAUGUGGAGGAACACCAGUGGCGAAGGCGACUUUCUGGUCUGUAACUGACGCUGAUGUGCGAAAGCGUGGGGAUCAAACAGGAUUAGAUACCCUGGUAGUCCACGCCGUAAACGAUGAGUGCUAAGUGUUAGGGGGUUUCCGCCCCUUAGUGCUGCAGCUAACGCAUUAAGCACUCCGCCUGGGGAGUACGACCGCAAGGUUGAAACUCAAAGGAAUUGACGGGGGCCCGCACAAGCGGUGGAGCAUGUGGUUUAAUUCGAAGCAACGCGAAGAACCUUACCAAAUCUUGACAUCCUUUGACAACUCUAGAGAUAGAGCCUUCCCCUUCGGGGGACAAAGUGACAGGUGGUGCAUGGUUGUCGUCAGCUCGUGUCGUGAGAUGUUGGGUUAAGUCCCGCGACGAGCGCAACCCUUAAGCUUAGUUGCCAUCAUUAAGUUGGGCACUCUAAGUUGACUGCCGGUGACAAACCGGAGGAAGGUGGGGAUGACGUCAAAUCACCAUGCCCCUUAUGAUUUGGGCUACACACGUGCUACAAUGGACAAUACAAAGGGCAGCGAAACCGCGAGGUCAAGCAAAUCCCAUAAAGUUGUUCUCAGUUCGGAUUGUAGUCUGCAACUCGACUACAUGAAGCUGGAAUCGCUAGUAAUCGUAGAUCAGCAUGCUACGGUGAAUACGUUCCCGGGUCU